ACAUGCAAGUCGAACGAAGUAGCAAUACUUAGUGGCAGACGGGUGAGUAACAUGUGGGUAUCUUCCCUUUGGUGAGGAAUAACACGAGGAAACUUGUGCUAAUACCUCAUAAGUCUUUACGGAGAAAGCUUUAUGCGCCAAUGGAUGAGCCCGCACUUGAUUAGUUUGUUGGUGGGGUAAUGGCCUACCAAGACUGUGAUCAAUAGCUGAUUUGAGAGGAUGAUCAGCCACAUUGGGACUGAGACACGGCCCAAACUCCUACGGGAGGCAGCAGUAAGGAAUCUUGCACAAUGGAGGAAACUCUGAUGCAGCGAUGCCGCGUGAGUGAAGAAGGCCUUUGGGUUGUAAAGCUCUUUCGUCGGGGAAGAAAAUGACUGUACCCGAAUAAGAAGGUCCGGCUAACUUCGUGCCAGCAGCCGCGGUAAUACGAAGGGACCUAGCGUAGUUCGGAAUUACUGGGCUUAAAGAGUUCGUAGGUGGUUAAAAAAGUUGGUAGUGAAAUCCCAGAGCUUAACUCUGGAACUGCUAUCAAAACUUUUUAGCUAGAGUAUGAUAGAGGAAAGCAGAAUUUCUAGUGUAGAGGUGAAAUUCGUAGAUAUUAGAAAGAAUACCAAUUGCGAAGGCAGCUUUCUGGAUCAUUACUGACGCUGAGGAACGAAAGCAUGGGUAGCGAAGAGGAUUAGAUACCCUCGUAGUCCAUGCUGUAAACGAUGUGUGUUAGACGUUGGAAAUUUAUUUUCAGUGUCGCAGCGAAAGCGAUAAACACACCGCCUGGGGAGUACGACCGCA
rnacentral:rRNA from 1 species